rnacentral:rRNA from 1 species
GACGAACGCUGGCGGCGUGCUUAACACAUGCAAGUCGAACGGAAAGGCUCUGCUUUUGUUGGGUGCUCGAGUGGCGAUCGGUUGAUUAACACGUGAGUAACCUGCCCUUGACUUUGGGAUAACUUCCUGAAACUGGGGCUAAUUCCGGAUAGGAUCUCCUGCUUCAUGGAGGGGCUUGGAAAGUUUUGGCUGUUGGGGAUGUACUCCCGGCUCUUCAGCUUGUUGGUGGGGUAGGGGCUUACCAAGGCUGUGACGGGUAGCCGGCCUGAGAGGGUGACCGGCGACAUUGGGACUGAGAGACGGACCAGAAGCCUACGGGAGGCAGCAGUGGGGAAUAUGGCACAAUGGGCGGAAGCCUGAUGAAGAAAAGCCGGGUGCGGGAUGACGGCCUUCGGGUGAUAAACCGCUUUCGCCUGGGACGAAGCGUGAGUGACGGUAAUGGGUAAAGAAGCAACGGCUAACUACGUG